rnacentral:rRNA from 1 species
GACGAACGCUGGCGGCGUGCUUAACACAUGCAAGUCGAACGGAAAGGCCCUGCUUUUGUGGGGUGCUCGAGUGGCGAACGGGUGAGUAACACGUGAGUAACCUGCCCUUGACUUUGGGAUAACUUCAGGAAACUGGGGCUAAUACCGGAUAGGAGCUCCUGCUGCAUGGUGUGGGUUGGAAAGUUUCGGCGGUUGGGGAUGGACUCGCGGCUUAUCAGCUUGUUGGUGGGGUAGUGGCUUACCAAGGCUUUGACGGGUAGCCGGCCUGAGAGGGUGACCGGCCACAUUGGGACUGAGAUACGGCCCAGACUCCUACGGGAGGCAGCAGUGGGGAAUAUUGCACAAUGGGCGGAAGCCUGAUGCAGCACCGCCGCGUGCGGGAUGACGGCCUUCGGGUUGUAAACCGCUUUCGCCUGUGACGAAGCGUGAGUGACGGUAAUGGGUAAAGAAGCACCGGCUAACUACGUG